rnacentral:rRNA from 1 species
AAAUGAAUAGACGGGGGCCCGCACAAGCGGAGGAACAUGUGGUUUAAUUCGAUGAUACGCGAGGAACCUUACCCGGGCUUGAAUUGCAGAGGAAGAUACCAGAGACGGUGUCGCCCUUCGGGGCUUCUGUGAAGGUGCUGCAUGGUUGUCGUCAGCUCGUGCCGUGAGGUGUCGGCUUAAGUGCCAUAACGAGCGCAACCCCUUUUCAUAGUUGCCAUCGGGUAAUGCCGGGCACUCUAUGGAUACUGCCACCGUAAGGUGUGAGGAAGGUGGGGAUGACGUCAAAUCAGCACGGCCCUUACGUCCGGGGCUACACACGUGUUACAAUGGGGGGUACAGAGUGUCGGGUGUGUGUAAACACAUUCAAACCAAUAAAACCCUCCCCAGUUCGGACUGGGGUCUGCAACCCGACCCCACGAAGCUGGAUUCGCUAGUAAUCGCGCAUCAGCCAUGGCGCGGUGAAUACGUUCCCGGGCCUUGUACACACCGCCCGU